CUUUUGUUGCGAAAAGGGCUUGGAGAAUUGAGCAAGUCCCUGUACUAGGCUGUUUUAUUAAAACAUCUCUUUUAUACACUUGCCUAUAUCAUGAUAAUACAAUAAUUUCGAUUGUAAAUAGGCAGCUAUUUUGAGAGUUAUUAAAGUGUUAUAUAUAAGUAUAGAGUUCGCCAGAUAAGCCCGUUCUCUAAGGUGGAAACACUGUAUUAAGACAGCAUACACCAAAACUCAAUGAACUAAAAGAUUUUAUUAAUUGAAAGGAAAAGAAACCAACCGGGAUUGCGCUAGUAGUACAGAGCGAAAGUGCAUAAGCUUGAUUAAAUAUUUUUUUGUUUACAGUUGAACUUAAGUGGAAUCCGGGACCAGAGAAAGUUAUAGUCUUGUAGAUUGUAAAAUAAAAAAAGUGCUGUAAUUGUUUAUAAGCACGCAACCAUUUAUUUUUUGAAUCCAGUAAAGUAAUAAAUGGGGAAGAUCAAUCAAAUUAGUGGUUUAACCCUGCUAGUGAUUAACGGAAACCACUCCGUUGGCUAAAUAUUCUAUGUAGAUCGAUAGUGAAUCAGUACUGUAAAGGAAUUUGGAAACAAGAAUGCCGUUGCUUCUCUGAAUACAAGUCCCAAAACAGGUUGCUUAUAAUGACUUUCAGUUUGGCAGUUAUAAUGUUGAAUAGAAAGGUUCCUUUUGAAUCAUGAGCUGAUGACUUUGUGUUAGUUUAAGGCAUGCAUUCAUUUUGUAAUAUCAUUGGUCUUUUUUUUUUUCAAAUAAAAAGCAGGUAUAAUUAAUGCGAGUAGCUUAAUUUAUUAAAAGUAAGCUUAUUAUGAAAGUAUUCAUAAAAAACUAACACAAAACGCGAAACGAAGUGAGCUUAAGUAGGCCAGGGGGAAGGUUACCGGAAGGUAGUUGGACGCCCGAAGUGGUAUGCGUUGCAACGCAUUCAUAUGAGUUUAUUUAAGUGGCGAAAUACCAAUCGAACUUCGAAAUAUCUCGUUUUUUGCGAAACCUUUUUAGGAAGGGGGCCUGCAAAAUAAAUGCUAACUAGGUAGAGCGCUGUAAAACUGAUGGGAAGGAAACUUUUACUGAGGUGUUGCAAACCACGAAUUAGGGGCAUUUUAUCAGGUACUCAGUCAGUGCGGGACAAGCUGCAUUUGACAAGAAGGAAACAGCCUAGACUAUGAAUUAAGGCCCGAAAAUAGCGCUAAGUGAGAAAGUAAUUAACUUCACAAAAAUUAGUAGGACGUUUGAUUAGUAGCAUCUACCGUUUCAAGAAAGCGUAAUAGCUCACUACUAUAGUUUAGUUGUUGCGAAAAUUUAGCCGGACUAAGCGCUAUGCCGAAAUUAUAGCUAACUGGAUCUUAAUAAAAGUCAGUUAGAGUAGCAAAACGAACCAUGUUGACAAAGUUACGUCGGUAAGACUUAAUGAAAAUAUUGGUUGUGAAUAUAUCAGCUAGAGUAACAUAUAAAUUGAGACUUUAAAUAAAUAAUUGUUUUAUAUUAAUCUUGUUUUAUUGUAUUUGUAUAAAGUUUAUUUAUUAAAAAAAUAGUAUCUCAAUGAUCGGAAAUCCUGGGUUUUCUACACAACUGUUAAAGAUGUAGUUAAAAAUACGGUCCCUAAGUAAUGUAAAGGUUACGAUGGGUACCUGCUAUGCCCAAUAAAAUCUAAUUUGUAGAUCUGUUGCAGGAAAAAAUAGCAGGAAUUUACACAAAAAUCGAUUUUUUUUGUACAAAAUAAUACCGUACUAAAACUGACUCUGGCGGAUUAGUAGAUUUUACUAAGAUUUGGUUAUAAUCGUUCGUAAGGAACUCGGCAAAUUGCGCUGGUACUUUCGAAAACAGCGGUCUAAAAGCAAUCUUUUAGAUCUCAGAUAAGAGAACUGGGUGACAGUUUACUAAAAACUUAGCGUCCUGCCAAUUUGAAACAAGACGUAUAGGAUGUGACGUUUGCUAACGGCCACUAAUUUAAGUAAUCUGUUGUAAAAGGUAGAUAAACAAGAUGUGGUGACGAGCGGCCGUAACUAUAACGGUCAUAAAGUAGCGAAAUUCCUAGGCAUUUAAUUGGUGUCCUGCAUGAAUAACGUAACAACCUGGUUGCUGUCUCGCGAGCGAAAACCGUGAAAUAAGAAUAUCGGUUAAAAUACCGAUUAGGCUGUCUUAGACGAUAAGACCCUGUGAAGCUUUACUGUAACCUAACAUUGCGAUCGGUUUUUUACCUUACAGCUAGGCGGGAGGCAAUGCCAACAAUGGAAAACCGCUAGAUAAUAAAUUGGUCGCUUUUAUAUAAGAGUACUUUUUAAUCUAUAAGAUAUUUAUAUAAGACACGUAAUAUAAGAAAUUUUAUGUGAAUAGAAUAAGCUUUAUGUUAACCCUUGUAUAAAACACUUUAAUUAACAAAGCUCGAAGACAGUGUUAGGUGGGCAGUUUACUUGGGGCGAGGUCUGGCUAAAAAGUAACGCCAGAGAGCAAAAGGUAUGCUCAGUAUUGUCGGAAACGAUAUGUAGAGCGUAAUAGUAUAAGCAUGCCUGAUUAUAAGACUGACAAGUCAAAUAAGGACGAAAGUCUGCUAUAGUGACCCUCACAUGCUAGGUGGAAAGGUGUGAGAUCAACGAAUCAAAGUUACUCCAGGGAUAACAGGGUAGUCCUGGCUUAUAGUUCUUAUAGACGCCAGGGUUCGCCACCUUAAUUAGCAUUGGGGCUCUUAUCUAGGAAACUAGAUUAGGAAUGCAUUUGGCUAUAUGCUGGAACCCCCGUUUGCAUUAAAUUUAACAAAGAACAUUAUUUUUAAUAGCAAUGUAAAUAUUACGUGGCUUGCUUGUUUUAUAAAAAGCUUGUUGACACAUGUGAUUGCGGGCAAUCAGCAGGGAAGUUCAAGCAACUUAUAUUUUUCUGUUGCAUAACCCCUCAACGACCACACGCCGAACACCCUUAUAAUGGGUGAUGAUAUGGUCUACUCUUACAAGAAAUUGUAAGUCAAUUCAAAUUAUAAAUAAAUUGAAUUGAUAUACACAACUACAUAAAAAACAAAUUUUUUCUUUAUACUUUAUACGUUAUGAUACAAAAAAAUAACUUAUCAACAUUACCUUUGUUUUUGCAAAGGCAAAAUGCCAACUGGUACAAAAAAGCCGACGUUUGGGUUCAUAAAGACGAACCAAGAAAGCUAUACGGUAAAAAUCUUGUAACCUAUAAAAAAACACUCAAACUAACGCCGCAGCAAAAACGUAUUUUAAUAGGAAGUUUACUAGGUGAUGGGUAUAUUGAUUUUCAUAGAUCUGCAAAACAACCAAGUUACUACUUUUGCUUUGCUCAAACCUGGCAUGCUGCAGAUUAUGUUGAUCACAUUUAUCAAAUAUUUAAACCAUUUGUAGGUACUCCGCCUAAAAUAAAUAAAAUCGGCGGCAUAAAGUCAGGUUUGCCAAAGCGUUAUGAAGUUCGUUUUAAAACUUAUGCUCACGAAGAGUUUAAGUAUUACUACGAUUUAUUUUACUUUUGCCUGCGGCAAAGCAAAGGUCCUGAAGUAGAUGGUCAAAGAAAAAAGCGUGUUCCACAAAAUAUAAAAAGUAUAUUAACAGCUGAGGGCCUGGCUUACUGGUAUAUGGAUGAUGGUACAACACGGACAUAUAUAACAGGGAAAAAAUCUUAUGUUAUUUCAACUCAAGGUUUUUGUUAUGAAGAUCAGGUUAUAUUAAUUGAUGCUUUAAAAGAAACAUUUGGUCUUGAUUGCGGUGUGCAUAAAGAUAAAACCUACUUUAGGUUAGGUUUUAGAGCAUCAUCUAAUACGCUGUUUUUAAGCUUAAUAAAACCGUAUAUACACGCAUAUUUUGAUUAUAAGCUUUAAGUAAUAUAAAAACACUGCCAAUUGUAGUGUGUAUAAUAAUAUACAGACGAUGUUGCCUCAGGUCAUCCUAGAGCUGCACAAGGUUCUAAGGGCGCAACUGUUCUUUGCAUAAUGACCUACGUGAGGUGAGUUUAAACCGCCGUAAGGCAGGUUUGGUUCUAUCUAGACAGCCAUAAUAUUUAACCAAGCACUAGAAUUCCACUGUACGAAAGGACCCGGAAUUCCGCGCCAAUGGUUUAGCAAUUGUUUUGAAAAAAGCAUGGUUGCAACGCUAAGCGUGAAAUGUUAAUUGCUGAAAAACUAUCAAGCAAGAAACAAUUGUAAAGGUUAUAGUACAUCGCAUUUGCGUAAAUAGGCAGGGGGUGUAAGUGUUGUAAGACAUUAAGCUACCCUGUACUAAUUUUUU
rnacentral:rRNA from 1 species